rnacentral:rRNA from 1 species
UACGUAGGCAGCGAGCGUUGUUCGGAGUUACUGGGCGUAAAGAGUGCGUAGGCGGUUUUCUAAGUUUGGUGUGAAAUCUCCCGGCUUAACUGGGAGGGUGCGCCGAAGACUGGAAGGCUUGAGUAUGGGAGAGGUAAGCGGAAUUCCUGGUGUAGCGGUGAAAUGCGUAGAUAUCGGAAGGAACAUCAGUGGCGAAAGCGACUUCCUGGACCAGUACCGACGUCAGGCACGAAAGCGUGGGGAGCAAACAGG